UGAAACAGAGAGUGAAGAAACAAUUUCUAACGAAGAAGUCAAGGGAGCAGCUUGCUUUGUCAAGCAAAAUGAAGUUAAGAGCUUUUGCAUGCCUGGUGUUGAUCAUGUGCACUCAUCAAAUUCUGUCAAGCUCGGCUCUCAGAAACUCUCUCCAGUUAGAAAAUGAGGGCUCUCAGAAGUUAAUCUCAAAACGCCUUAGAAAAGAACAAGAAGUAGUUUUUCAUGGUCUUUACAAUGGAGAAACACAAGAUUCGAGGAAGUCGCAGAGAGGGAAGGGAGCCUACGGUGGUGCUAAUAUUGUUCAUCGGCCACACCCUGAGGAUAAAAAUGCGGCAUCACUGUUAGCAACAUCCCCAUUUUUCAUCUCAAUCUUUGUAGCCACAGAAGGCUUCGUUUUUAUUUUUGUUUAUCCCUUCCGAUUGCUCUAGAUAUCCAUGAAUUCUACCCUUCUUUCAUUACAACCCCAUUAAAAAAAAAAAACUGAAACAAGAUUUUCCUGUUGUGUUUGGCGUGUCAGAUUUUGGUCUCCCUGUGAGCAUUAUUGCACUGUGUGUGGUAGCUAUUGAUGCUGGUUGAUUAUACUAGGCAUGUGACUUUCAAAUAUUUUCUUGUAAACUAGUAAGAUGAAUGAUAGCUCUCUCUCUCUCUCUCUCUCUCUCUCUCUCGUAUACUUUGUUUUCGUUUACAUCUUACUCUGGUAUAGAACAUCAAAGAUUUUGCAUUCAACAACCAGAGAGCUAAAUGGUCUAAAAUCAAAUGAAACUACGAUUUCAGUCACUGAACCAACUUCACAAGAUUCGCCAGAAAAACCUACUUGUGUGCAAGUUGGUGCUAAAACCAUAUUGCUUUGUCAUCAACACCCCCACAAGGCCGCAAAUAACAUUGUGUGAUCUAAAUUUAUUAUAUGAACACUGUUUCCUGUAAAUUCAAUAUGUGAUAAGAAUGCAUUUGUGUCAAAGACCAUUUCAGCUUAAAAACAUCAGAUUUCAGCUUAAUAAGUCUCACUGACAACAAAUUAUGAAUGGAAAAAGCAUUAGGGAAAUUUUUUUUUUUUUUUU